rnacentral:rRNA from 1 species
UACGUAGGGGGCAAGCGUUGUCCGGAUUUAUUGGGCGUAAAGAGCGCGUAGGCGGCCCUGUAAGUCCGCUGUGAAAGUCAAGGGCUCAACCCUUGAAUGCCGGUGGAUACUGCAGGGCUAGAGUCCGGAAGAGGCGAGUGGAAUUCCUGGUGUAGCGGUGAAAUGCGCAGAUAUCAGGAGGAACACCGAUUGCGAAGGCAGCUCGCUGGGACGUUACUGACGCUGAGACACGAAGGCCAGGGGAGCAAACGGG